rnacentral:rRNA from 1 species
CUGAGAGGUUGAACGGCCACAUUGGGACUGAGACACGGCCCAGACUCCUACGGGAGGCAGCAGUGGGGAAUAUUGCACAAUGGGGGAAACCCUGAUGCAGCGACGCCGCGUGAGCGAAGAAGUAUUUCGGGAUGUAAAGCUCUAUCAGCAGGGAAGAUAAUGACGGUACCUGACUAAGAAGCACCAGCUAAAUACGUGCCAGCCGC